GGCGGCGGCUCGCGUCCCCGUCCGGGGCUCUCGGGGUAGGGGGAGUGGGGAAGGGGGUGUCGGGCCCCUACGCGGGGGGGCUGGGACACUGGCGAGGGGCGCGAAUCUCUUUUUCUUCUUCGUGUUAAAAAAAAAAAAAGAGAGAGAGAGAGAGAAAGAAAACGCGCAAACUUGCAUCAGGACUUCCUGACCAAUCUGGGAGAAGGCGGGCUUCCUGCCUGGAGCUGUUUAAUCCGGAGCCUCCGGAGCAGAACUAACUGUCGUGCCCUGGGCUUGGCCCCCUUUGCUCUUCCCCUUCCCGUGUCCCCACCCCUCGCCGGACUCUGGAAAAACUAGUCGGGGUUCCUCCCUGCCUUCCUGGUGCCCUGGCUUCCUCGGCGGUGCCGCGGGAGGGGCCGGGCGGGCUGUCCUGGGCUGGGGGAGGGAACGCCCCCCCAGGAGGCUCUGGCCUUGGUAGGAGAGCUCAGGGCAUCCGUGUCCCCUGCUGGCAUGGCAUUGGUGCCCCUUCCGGAAAGAAAGCACGUAGCUGUGGUUCUCUGUGCGCCAUGGCCCCUCCCUCCACACCCCUCCUGGUCUCCCUGUGUGCCCAGGGCAGAGUGCCCGAGAUGCAUUUCACCCUUCACACUGUGGCCCUUGGCCCUGGGCUCCCUCCGCGGCGCCGUCUCUGCUGGGAGUGAAAUGGAGCCGCGCGAUUGAAGUCAAUCUGGGAGUUUCCCUUCCUGCCUUUUCCGUGUCAACGCGCUCUCGCUGGUCUACCUGCUGUUCCUGCUGCUGCUGCCUUGGCUCCCGGGCCCCUCCCGGCACAGCAUCCAAGGUAAGGGGCCUCGGCCGCAGCGGCAGGGGCGCCGGCGGAACCCCGCGGGGUGGGCUUGCUCUGCGGUUGAGGAACUGCAGGUGAAGGCUGCGGGGUCGCCUUUCUCCCAGGGGACCCUUGCUGGUUUCCGUCUCUUUUCUGAGCUCGUGUCCCCGGGGACGGGCUGGAGAACCUCGCUGGGGCGUCCCCACCAGGAGGCUCAGGCCCUGGCGCUGUGGCCGGGCCCCCUCCCAUUCCCCACCCUGUCCCCAGCGACGUCCUUGCAGCCUGUCUGCCCCAAGAGGCUCUGGCCAACCCUCAAGUCCAGCCACCGGCUCAGCUCCCGCUGCCCCGCCUCGGACUCAGGAUCCGUGGUGUUGGCGUGGUGCCCUCCGGGGCCUCUGCGCUCCUGGACCGCCUUGUCUGGGUGGUGGGCACGCGUGGUUCUCUGCCUGGUUCUGAGCUCCCGGAGGGCGGCUUCUGUGUCCACCAGAUAGACAGAGUGAGGAAGGCCGCCAGGGUGCCUGCGCCCCCAAGGGACCUAGACGAGUGGCCCUCGGCCUGGGCUCAUCCCAGAGGGCCCGGGAGCAGAGAGGACGGUCGCGUAGGGGGCGCCCCACCCAGCAGAGCCCAGGCAGACCCUCUGAAGGAAGACCCCACUUGCAGGCAGCUGCUGGGGGACUUGGCCAAGGGGCCCCUU
rnacentral:lncRNA from 1 species